rnacentral:rRNA from 2 species
UGCAUCGAUGAAGAACGCAGCGAAAUGCGAUAAGUAAUGUGAAUUGCAGAAUUCAGUGAACCAUCGAAUCUUUGAACGCACAUUGCGCCCGGUAGUAAUCUGCCGGGCAUGCCUGUCCGAGCGUCAUUUCUCCCCUCGAGCGCGGCUUCACGGCCGACGCCCGGUGUUGGGGCGCUACGGAGGGAGCCUCGCGCCCCCCCCGUAGGCCCCGAAAUGUAGUGGCGGUCCCGCCGCGGCGCCCCCUGCGUAGUAGUUUUACAACUCGCAUCGGGUCCCGGCGGAGGCCAGCCGUCAAACCCCCAACUCAAUAGUUUGACCUCGGAUCAGGUAGGGUUACCCGCUGAACUUAAGCAUAUCAAUAAGCGGAGGAA